rnacentral:rRNA from 1 species
UCCAGACUCCUACGGGAGGCAGCAGUAGGGAAUCUUUCACAAUGGGCGAAAGCCUGAUGGAGCAACGCCGCGUGCAGGAUGAAGGCCUUCGGGUUGUAAACUGCUUUUAUAAGCGAGAAAUAUGAUGGUAACUUAUGAAUAAGGAUCGGCUAACUACGUGCCAGCAGCCGCGGUAAUACGUAGGGAGCAAGCGUUGUCCGGAAUUACUGGGCGUAAAGGGCGCGUAGGUGGGCGCUUAAGUCAGGUGUGAAAACUCCGGGCUCAACCUGGAGACUGCACUUGAAACUGGGUGUCUUGAGGGCAGGAGAGGAUAGUGGAAUUCCAGGUGUAGGAGUGAAAUCCGUAGAUAUCUGGAGGAACAUCAGUGGCGAAGGCGACUAUCUGGCACAUAACUGACGCUGAGGAGCGAAAGCGUGGGUAGCAAACAGGAUUAGAUACCCGUGUAA